GAUGAACGCUGGCGGCGUGCCUAAUACAUGCAAGUCGAGCGAACAGACGAGGAGCUUGCUCCUCUGACGUUAGCGGCGGACGGGUGAGUAACACGUGGAUAACCUACCUAUAAGACUGGGAUAAUUUCGGGAAACCGGAGCUAAUACCGGAUAAUAUAUUGAACCGCAUGGUUCAAUAGUGAAAGACGGUUUUGCUGUCACUUAUAGAUGGAUCCGCGCCGCAUUAGCUAGUUGGUAAGGUAACGGCUUACCAAGGCAACGAUGCGUAGCCGACCUGAGAGGGUGAUCGGCCACACUGGAACUGAGACACGGUCCAGACUCCUACGGGAGGCAGCAGUAGGGAAUCUCCGCAAUGGGCGAAAGCCUGACGGAGCAACGCCGCGUGAGUGAUGAAGGUCUUCGGAUCGUAAAACUCUGUUAUUAGGGAAGAACAAAUGUGUAAGUAACUAUGCACGUCUUGACGGUACCUAAUCAGAAAGCCACGGCUAACUACGUG
rnacentral:rRNA from 1 species